rnacentral:rRNA from 2 species
CAAGUCGAGCGGACAGAAAGGGAGCUUGCUCCCGGAUGUUAGCGGCGGACGGGUGAGUAACACGUGGGUAACAUGCCUGAAAGACUGGGAUAACUCCGGGAAACCGGAGCUAAUACCGGAUAGUUUCCUUGAACCGACAUGGUUCAAGGAUGAAAGACGGUUUCGGCUGUCACUUACAGAUGGACCCGCGGCGCAUUAGCUAGUUGGUGAGGUAACGGCUCACCAAGGCGACGAUGCGUAGCCGACCUGAGAGGGUGAUCGGCCACACUGGGACUGAGACACGGCCCAGACUCCUACGGGAGGCAGCAGUAGGGAAUCUUCCGCAAUGGACGAAAGUCUGACGGAGCAACGCCGCGUGAGUGAUGAAGGUUUUCGGAUCGUAAAGCUCUGUUGUUAGGGAAGAACAAGUGCAAGAGUAACUGCUUGCACCUUGACGGUACCUAACCAGAAAGCCACGGCUAACUACGUGCCAGCAGCCGCGGUAAUACGUAGGUGGCAAGCGUUGUCCGGAAUUAUUGGGCGUAAAGGGCUCGCAGGCGGUUUCUUAAGUCUGAUGUGAAAGCCCCCGGCUCAACCGGGGAGGGUCAUUGGAAACUGGGAAACUUGAGUGCAGAAGAGGAGAGUGGAAUUCCACGUGUAGCGGUGAAAUGCGUAGAGAUGUGGAGGAACACCAGUGGCGAAGGCGACUCUCUGGUCUGUAACUGACGCUGAGGAGCGAAAGCGUGGGGAGCGAACAGGAUUAGAUACCCUGGUA